UGUCACCAGAGUACUUACUCAAACAGGGUCAUGUCAUUGUCGUCUGUCACUGUGGGUUAUUGGAUGUGUAGGAAUCGGAUGAGUUCUGCCAAUACAGACCGAUCAGUUUAUAAUUUUCACAUAAAGCUCUGCCGGCGUUUCAGAGUUUAUUUCUCUGAUUUAUUGACAACAAAUGAGAGAAAUAAGAAAAAUGAGAAAUAGAUCAAAUGUGAUAUGCAAAGACAGAUUUUUGCACCAGUUAAAAGUAAAAUGAGAUUUCGUUGCAUUUUCUUUGGGGGUUUCAGCAUCAUUUAAAAAAGAAAUCCUCUGUAAGGGGUUUCUCUGAAUCCUGUCAGAAAGGAGAAGAAGUGGAACCAAAGGGGAAGCGUGACUUCUUAGAACACACUGAGCCAUGAAUGUGGACGUGGGAGGUGGAUAUAAAGGGAGCAGAGAGCAGGUCAGAGCACAUCAGCCCUGCACAUUCAAACAGAAGAACAUCUGUCUGUGUCGGGAACCAUGAAGACUCUGCUGGCUCUCACAGUCCUGACGCUCACCUGCUUCCUGAAGCACAGCUCUGCCAGUGAGUACCGCUGACCUUUGACCCCUGAGCACCCGUCACUACUCUGAAGAAGAAGAAGUUCUGCCUUGAUCCUGAAUGGAAACAUGCACAGAUGCAUCUGGAAGAAUUCAAGAAAAGAUCAGCGCCCACCACUCUGAAACCUGAAACCACUAAAGAAAUGAAGAAAAACUUCUCGUCCACCACUCUGAAGCCCACAACCACCUGAGUCUGCAAUCCCAGAAAUGAUCAAAGUGGUUCUUUUCUACAUUAAUAAUCUGAUAAAGUUAUUUGUUGCUCUCGUGUGUUUUAAACUGUUGCAGAACUUUGAUCAUUAAUGAUGAUUACACAGAAAUGUUUCUAGUUUAAAACCUUUAAAGUUUUUUCUCCUCAAUGUUUUUUAUGAGAUAAACCAAGUGCUGUGACUGAACGUUUCAAAUGUCUGUUCAUUAUUGCUCCACCUUUCACAAUAAAAGAUUUAUUUUUGUACUCUUUAAAGCCCACUGAGUCUUUUAUUUAGAGCAGCUGUGAGUCAUGAAGACAUACACCCAUUUUAUAAAAAUAUUAUGUUAUAAUAAUAAUCACAAACAUCACUUUCAUAAAGACCCAAAGCUGGAAUAAACCAGUGUUUGCCGUAUACUUUUGGGACCUUUGUGUCUGCGCCAUCAGCAGCCGCAUCUUCUAACAUUUAUUUUUAAUUAUAAAAGAUGGAUUUUAUUGUUAUUUCGCUGUUUUUGCACAUUUUUGUCAAAGUAAAAGUUUAGAUUUGUCGUUCUACAGAUUUUUAACUGAAAGCUGUCGACACGAGUGAUGAAAACAAAGACGAGCAGCGUCGCUUCAGCAGCUUUUAGAGAUCAGAUGUUAUUUAGAGAAAGAGGAACUUUGGUUUGUUUACUCCCGAGUAUCCUUAAAAUUCAGAGAAAGGAUGCAGACAUUAGACGAGGAAGUGAAACCAGAAGAAUACAAAUACACAGAGAAACACACAGUUUUACACAGAUUGAUCAUGAAUUAGUUUUAGGUAGUUAAAUAAAAGUGUUUUAUAUGUUUCUGUUGUAGGUUUUGUGUGUAUUUCACAUUUUUUGGAAAUGAUUACAAAUGUCUUAAAUAAUGAUGUUAGUUUGUACAUAAUGUUGUUUAUGUGCUUGACAGUAACAGGACAUGGUCUAUUGCUUUUCUUUUCUUUUUUUUUGUGCUAGCUUGAGAGUGUUUAUGGACGCUAACACGGGAAUGUUUGAAACAUCUGAGAUGUUUAUGCUGUAAACUGUUUUGUAUUUUCUUUAGUUUUCACAGUGAAGAGAGAGAAACAUAAAGUGGCCGCUAUAGUUACAUGUAGUUAAUAAUAUAAAAAGAAGAAUUUGAUCAUUCCAAAAAAAGUAAAAUCAUUUAAAGUGACAUUAAAGAGUUAAAAUGCUCUGUAAAAUAAUAAAUAAUAAAUGUAGUGAGUGAAGGAGUUGCUGAGUUCAGUACUUUGCAUUUUCAAACUUCUUUGCUUUCGUAGAAGUCGGUAACCACAUUCUCACACCCUCACUCAGAUAUCGAGUGUCUGGUUCCUGAUUUGAGCUGCUAAUACCAAGUAUGAGAACUCAGCACACAGACGUGCUUCCAUGAACUUUCAUGUGUCCCUGGUCGGUUUUAUCCAGAAAUCAUCGCGGCAACUUCAUCACACAGAAGAGGUCAUGGCACUUUGUGCAGCAUAAAAUGUCACGAUUAGAAACUCUAAACAGGAAGUGAAAACUACUAAAUGAAUGAAUGUUUUGCAAUAACGAGACUGAAAGUAUCAAAGGUUAAAAUCACAACACAAGUAAUAAAUGACACCAAACAAAAAGAAACUACGUUUCCUCCUAAAGCGUUCCACAGCAACUCUUUACAAUCAGAUUUCACUCAAACCAAGGAGCAAAGAGUCAAAGCUCAGUGAAUCAUCACAACUGUUUCAGACAACAAGUCUGAAAAGAGAUUAUUUUGAGCGUAUUAUCAGCGCGACAUUAGGAUCAUCCUCAGUGCCGUGAGCAUUCUUCCUCACUUCUGUGGGGGGGUUUCUGGAUAUUUGUUACACAUGCACGCUCCAGACCAUCAAACAAAUCUUAACCUGAGCAAAUACAAAAUACACUUUUAAUUGAUCAUUUCAUUCAUUCAGGGAAACAAAAGCUAUCUGAAAUUACACCGCUCUGUGAUUUUCUGCAGCAUCAAUCUCGUCUCAUUUGUAACAAUGUUGUAUUUUUUAUGUUUUUUGUUGCUGUUGUGUCAUCGGUUAACAGCUCGAGUGGCGGCGACACUCAUGGGGAUCAUUUUGUGCUGAAGAGUCACAUGACCCCCUGUUUGCAUCAAAUAACACACACAGUUUGAAGAAAUGAGGAAGGUGCCCAGGCUUUAUUUUUGGCUUUUUAUUGGUUAGGUCAUCCAGCUACCUUACCGUCAAAUAAUUCAUUUUUUUAAAUAUCAUCUUCAAAGAAGAAAGCACAACUGAAAGCAAAAGUCAUUCACUCAUGUCACUUUUAAAAGGUGGAAACAAUCAAUAACAAUAAUAAUAAAUCAAGGUUCCUACUAAAACACUCAAAUCACAACAUCGAACAAAGAGUAACUGAAAUGUGACACACUGGAUCUGUAAAGAGGAGGCGAGACAUGAGCCGGGACAAGCACGCCGGAGUCUCCCAA